rnacentral:rRNA from 1 species
GACGAACGCUGGCGGCAUGCUUAACACAUGCAAGUCGAACGAAGUGGCGAACGGGUGAGUAACUCGUAAUCAACCUGCCCUUCAGAGGGGGACAACAGUUGGAAACGACUGCUAAUACCGCAUACUGAAUGGGUGGAUUGCGUCUGAUUAGCUAGUUGGAGGGGUAACGGCCCACCAAGGCGAUGAUCAGUAGCCGGUCUGAGAGGAUGAACGGCCAAAUUGGGACUUAGACACGGCCCAGACUCCUACGGGAGGCAGCAGUGGGGAAUCUUCCGAAAUGGAGGAAAGUCUGACGGAGCAACGCCGGGUGAGUGAUGACGGCCUUCGGGUUGUAAAGCUCUGUUAAUCGGGACGCGGUACCGGAAUAGAAAGCCACGGCUAACUACGUGCCAGCAGCCGCGGUAAUAC